CCUACGGGAGGCAGCAGUGAGGAAUAUUGGUCAAUGGGCGAAAGCCUGAACCAGCCAAGUAGCGUGAGGGAUGACGGUCCUAUGGAUGGUAAACUUCUUUUAUAAGGGAAUAAAGUGUGGGCCGUGUCCGUUUUUGUAUGUACUUUAUGAAUAAGGAUCGGCUAACUCCGUGCCAGCAGCCGCGGUAAUACGGAGGAUCCGAGCGUUAUCCGGAUUUAUUGGGUUUAAAGGGUGCGUAGGCGGCUUUUUAAGUCAGGGGUGAAAGUUUGUGGCUCAACCAUAAAAUUGCCUUUGAUACUGGGAGGCUUGAGUAUGUUUGAGGCAGGCGGAAUGCGUGGUGUAGCGGUGAAAUGCUUAGAUAUCACGCAGAACCCCGAUUGCGAAGGCAGCCUGCUAAGCCAUGACUGACGCUGAUGCACGAAAGCGUGGGGAUCAAACAGGAUUAGAUACCCGGGUAGUC
rnacentral:rRNA from 1 species